ACCCGUAUGGCGUAAAUGGUAACGCGCCGGUUUGCAAAACCGUGGUUCCGGGUUCAACCCCCGGUGCGGGCU
rnacentral:tRNA from 1 species